rnacentral:rRNA from 1 species
GUGCCAGCAGCCGCGGUAAUACAGAGGGUGCGAGCGUUGUCCGGAAUCACUGGGCGUAAAGGGCGCGUAGGUGGCGGGGUAAGCGUGUGGUGAAAGUCCGGGGCUCAACCCCGGAUCGGCCAUGCGAACUGCCCGGCUGGAGCACGGUAGAGGCACAUGGAAUUCCGGGUGUAGCGGUGGAAUGCGUAGAGAUCCGGAAGAACACCGGUGGCGAAGGCGGUGUGCUGGGCCGUUGCUGACACUGAAGCGCGACAGCGUGGGGAGCAAACAGGAUUAGAUACCCCUGUAGUCC